rnacentral:tRNA from 1 species
GCCUGGAUGGCUCAGUUGGUUAAGCAUCUGACUCUUGGUUUUGGCUCAGGUCAUGAUCUCAUAGUUCAUGGGUUCGAGCCCCGUAUCAGGCU